CAUGCAAGUCGUACGAGAAAUCUGGAGCAAUUUGGAGAGUACAGUGGCGCACGGGUGAGUAACGCGUGGGUAACCUACCCUGGGGUUGGGGAUAACUCCUCGAAAGGGGUGCUAAUACCGAAUAACAUUUCGAUCUCCCCGGAGAUUGAAAUCAAAGGUGGCCUCUGCAUGCAAGCUACUGCCCGAGGAUGGGCCCGCGUACCAUUAGCUAGUUGGUAGGGUAACGGCCUACCAAGGCUGCGAUGGUUAGCUGGUCUGAGAGGAUGGCCAGCCACACUGGAACUGAGACACGGUCCAGACUCCUACGGGAGGCAGCAGUGGGGAAUCUUGCGCAAUGGGGGAAACCCUGACGCAGCAACGCCGCGUGGGUGAUGAAGGCCUUCGGGUCGUAAAGCCCUGUCAGGUGGGAAGAAACCCAUCGGUGCAAACAGCACCGGUGAUGACG
rnacentral:rRNA from 1 species